ensembl:lncRNA
CAACCACCUGGUUUUUCAGAUAAUGAGGCUAGUGAUAACCAGUCUCCCACAAAGGGGGCUUCCUGCAAGGGUGAGAAGGAGCUGACAUCCGGCCACACUGCAUCACACAGCCGUGAGCCCUGGCCUAGGGCUACCUGUGCCUGAGACAAGGUCACCUUGUCCUACUAAGUGCAAAAGCGUCUUACUGGCUGUGGGUGCCUUUGACAGAAUUGGCUAACGUUUAUCUUCAUGCUGUCUCCUAACUGCUGCUUCCCUCUGCUACUAAAGCUGGCAUGCUUAGCUUUUAUCAGUUCUGCCUCUGGCCGGGUGGGACAGCUCUGUUUACUAUGUGUCAGACAGGCACUGACCACUCUACCAGCACAGACCUGUUGAAUGCUCAUAGGCGCUCCAUGAGGUGGAGACAGUUAUUAUUCCACUUUUACAGAUCCCGAAAGCAAAGCGCUGGAAGGCAGAGUGAGCCACUUCCCAGAUCACACCGUUGGAUGGUGAAUGUGCCUGGGGCUGAGAGCCAGUUUUGUCUGAAUACGAAGCUCAUUCUCUUUUCGUACCGAAGGGCUUUCCUCAUUCUGUUCCUUCUUUUCUUCAUUGCCAACUUCUUCUCUUCCCAGAAACCGAGUGCAUUUCGUGGUCCUUCCUUGUUCUGGGGCACAAGAACCUCCUUGGAGGUAUUUUAGGAAUUGGGUAUGGGAGUGGGUCAGGUGUGGUGUGGUCUGUGGCACGAUGGGGACACAGGGAAUGACCCAGCUGGCCUCUAGAGGUCCCUUCGCAUCAGAGGAUCAUAGAAUCUUCAUACAUUGUUCAAGUCAGAAUUUUAUCCAAAUGGGUGGUUCUUCUUCCACCCGUUUGCUUCAGAUAUCAGCAAUCUUGGACCCUCUCACAGGGAGUUAAUAAUUCCUCAGAAUCACCAUGUAUCUCUCUGGAGUGGGAUACUGCACACAUUGAGGUGGAAGCGCACUUCUCUGAGGCCCACAAGCCAGUCUCUCUGGUGACCCUAGCAGUGCGAGGCAGAGUAGGUGACACCUUCUUUGUUGCGCUAGGAAUAGGACCGUUGGCAUCUCUCCUGGGGAAGCCUGAACAAAUUAUAAUUAAUAUGAAUGGCACAUUUAUUCUCUUAAGUUCAAAGUCUCCACUGAUGGGUAAAAUGCAACUUUAUUUUUGCAUUUGAGAUCAUUUUGCUUCCUUGGGAGCAGGUUGAUGGGUUCCUGGUGUAAUAAAUAAAUAAUACCAUUAACAUCACACAGAUGGUCAAAUAAUAGUGUUAGGAAAUCAAGAAUUGGUUGGGUUUAGGAUGCAAUUUCAAAUUGCACUUGUGAGCCAAAGGCAGGGAGGAAGCAGUAGGAAUGUUUCACGUGAGUGCAAUUGAAGGAGACAAAGCUCUUCAACAAACCAGACCUUCCUAACUCAUAUUCCAGCGGGAGUGGUGUGCCAGAGAGAAAACGGACUGGAAGACAGGGUGCCGCUAACUCGGACUCGAGUACUUUCUCUGUGUUCUCUUGGGCAAGUUUUAAACAUUCUUCCAUGUAAAGAGGACAUUUACUACCUACCUCAAAGGAUCGUUUGGGGUUAAAAUGAAACGGUGUACACAAAGCUUAGUCUGUAAUUAUAUAAUUAGUCUCUCUCUUUCCAUGUGUACAGAUGUACACACAUGUGUAUACGUGUGUGUGUGCAUAUAGCCACGCAUUUAGCAGCUUUCCCUAUAACCUAUUGUAGCUUAAACACCCAUGUGGCAACACUUUGAUAGACGUACUGUGUCUGGCUUCUGGAAGGUCUAUGAGGAGAGGAAUGCCUCUCCAUCCAUGUCUAAUUAUACUUCUCUGUGUGUUUCUCCUACACAUAUGCUUAGAUCCUAGGAAUCUUCUUCUGUUCAAAUAAUUUCUUGAGCUAUUUUAUAUCAGAGAGGGAGUGAGGAGAAAGGUAUUCCUUUAUUUUUCAUCACAAGAUUGUUGCAUAGAAAGUUAUGACAGUUCAUGGCUCUGAAGAUGAAUUUCCUACGAGAUAAAGAACAACAACAACAAACAUAUGGAAGGUUCUAUGGAGCCAGGUUAUCUGACACAGAUAAUGGGGUCAGGAGUUCAUGCAUAGAUUUAGGACUUGUAGACCGUUUUUCCUUGGAAGACUGGUUCUUCCAUGACAAGUCCACUGGAGUCAGCUGGGAAAGCCAGGGUAGGGAUGCCAUCGACUGUUGGGGGUGGUUAAGCCCUUCCAGCUUUGCAGCCCUGUGAUUGCGUUUCCCCUCAUUCUCACCUGUUCACUGAGAGGCCAGCUCAGGACUUCCACAGCAAUGGUGACAAGAGAAAAGGGGGCCUCUCUGCAUUUGGUCAUUUUUCUCCCGUGCAGUUCUGGGGCAAGACCAGUGUGUCUGCCGUGAGAAACUGAUCUCGGAAUUUGCUGACGGAACUACAGGAGCAAUCCUUCUCCCUGCAGCCGUGUGCCGUGGGGCUUAAAGUAGUUUAAAUUAUAUAUAGCAGUCUCAGUUGUUCAUGAUCUGUUUUCCCCAGAUCUCAUUGAUUCACAUGGUUGAGUUAUUUGGGUUUAUUUGGGUGUAUUUGGCCAACUUGCUGCCUUGUCAGUGUGAGAUGUUUUGGCUUAGAAACCUUUUGAGAGGUUAGAUUUGUCUUAUACAAAGUACAUAUGAAUUAAUCUUACAAUCUUGCUGAUGGAUUUUUUAGAAUAAUAGAAUUUUUAAUGAAAACAGCAUCAACCACCAGGCUGAUGGAAAAUGACAAAACUGACAUCAACCUUCAGAUAAAGCUUUGCUGGCCGCAUAGAGGAAAGGAAGAUAUGUUUGUGUGAAAAUAAUUUCUUGAUCUUCUGUGGCUUUCAAACAGGCUAUAAAUGUAGUGGAUGAGGGGAAAAGUGCUCUUGCACUCAGAAUAAUCAUCUUUGGACACAUUUACUCGUCAGGAAAGCUCAAUCUAAAACAAUUCUAACUGGUCAGAACCCACGAGGAAGAAAGAAAAACUAUAUGCAAAUUAAUUUUUAUUUGGUGCACAAGUUAUACAUGAAAACUGGAAAAAGCAGUACUUCAGUGUUGUGAGUUGAAUUGGAUCACUCCCCUCCUGACCCGCACCCUCCCCCCCAAAAAAAGAAAAAGAUCUGUUGAAGUCCUCACAUCCAGUACCUCAGAAUGUGACGUUAUUUGGAAAUAGGUUCAUUGCAGAUGUAACUAGGUAUUCAGAUGCAUUCACACCGGAGUAGGGUGGGACCCCAAUGCAAUACAACUGGUGUCCUGAUAAGAAGAUGACCUGCGGAGACACAGUUGACACACAGGGAGAAAACCAUGUGAUGACAGAGACAUUCGAGCAAUGAGGCUGCAAGCCAAGGAGUGCCAGAGGUUGCCCAUGAAGCACCAGAGCUAGGAAGAUGCAGGGAGGGAUUCUCUCCUGCAGGUUUCAUAGGGAAUGUUCCCUGCAGCACCUUGAUUUCAGACUUCCGGCCCCCUGAAAUGUGAGACAGUACAUUUCUGUUGUUUCAAGCCAUGCAUAUUGUAAUGCUCUGUUGUAACAAACCCAGAAACUGAUACACAUGGGUGUUAUAAAGAGAUUGCUUAAAUAGUAUCUGUGUACGAUGCUCCUGGUAUGACUGUUCCUCCCCCAGUCAUCAGCUCCCAGACUCCUCACAGAUGUCUGGGAGGCUGACCCAGAGUAGGAAUGUAGUUAGAAUUGAUUACUCUCUUUUUCCUAAUAGACCAUCAGAACAAACGUUAUUGCAUCUUACUUUUCAGUUAUCUUAUUAGCCACCUCAGAAGUCAAAGAUCUACCAGACUGUGCAUCAUUUUUUGAUUCUUAUUGUCAUAGGGUCCUGUACAAUCGAUAAUCUGACCCAGUUGCAAAACUCUCUGUAAUCUUCUGAAACUUUUUAUUACCCUCUGGCCUCUAUGACCUGUCACCAGCGAAAUCCCUGUGUCCCCUCUCUCCUCUCUGAAUGUUCCCCUCAGCUUUUGCUUAAUCUGAGACUUGGCUGUUCCCUGGAUCAUUUCCACUCCUAGAGUCCGAUCAGCGGUGGCUGUCUCUCUCCUGUAUCCUUGUUGCCAUGAGGCCUGAGAGCUGGAGAGAUGUUCUCCUCAUUACUUACUGUGGCUUCAGGACAUUUCCUUUCCCAUCUCUCAGAAUCCCCAGUUACGUUGAAUCACACACCGUGUACCCCCAGCCCUUUCCUGCGGCAGUUUUCUACUCUCUAUCCUGACCAGUCUCCUUCACUCUGGAGCUCCAGGCUGUACAUCCUAGUAUGAAUCUUCAAAUCCACUUUUAUGACUCACGUGUUUCAAGCUCUGCCUCCCAAGCGGUGUUCUUGAUACCACCUCCAUGUAACCCAUUGCCAGCCACCACCAACUUGAUUCCCUCCAUCUGUCCCCAUCUUGGGCAUAGACACCACCAUUCAUCCAGCUACUCUGUCCAAAAGCCUCAUAGAUAUAUUUUUUCUUUGUCUCUUAUGCGACAUCUAGUCCAUCAAUAAAUCCUGUAGUGUCUUUACUUUUAAGAUAGACCCUGGGACUUACCUUGUGGCUCAGUGCUUAAGAAUCCACCUGCCAAUGCAGGGGACACAGGUUCGUGCUCUGGUCUGGGAAAAUCCCACAUGCCGCGGAGCAACUAAGCCCGUGCGCCACAACUAAUGAGCCUGCGCUCAAGAGUACGCAGCCACAACUGCUGAGCCCGCGAGCCACAACGGCUGAAGCCCGCAUGCCUAGAGUCCAUGGUCCGCAGCAAGAGAAGCCACCGCAACGAGAAGCCCGCGCGUCACAACUAGAGAAAGCCCGCGCGCAGCAGGGAAGACCCGAAGCCGCCAAAAAUAAAUAAAUUUAUU